GUCCACCUCCUGGUCCCCUCCCUCCUCCCUGCCCGCCUAAGAUGAGGUGGGAGGGGGCUGCAAGUUCCACUCCAGUGUGUGCAAGUUUCAAGGACAGAAGUCAUCUGCUGACGGCUGAGAAGCCAGUGUUGGUCCGUCCGAAGAGCCCGACUCCGUUUCACCUCGUGGACAAUCUCUGCGGGUGGAAACCUGGCCCUAAACCGGGCUUGGAGGUCGGAGCUGACUGAGAAUGGAAGUCACGGAGGGCCGAAGAAGCUGGCCACGAAGGAAACACUUGCAAAGGAACACGCACCCCUCCUGCUGGACAAUCCGUGGGCAGCGAGGGCGGCGUGCCCCUGGGAGCUGCCCCCGCACGGAGGGUGCGCCCAUGGGCUCCUGACGCAGAGGGCGGCUGCCCGACCGUGAGCCAGUCGGGGGCCAGGACCUAGACACCCCACUGCUGAACGGCUGUUUGUGAAAAAGUGUACAUUAGUUUCCUGUCUUGUAACAAAUUACCACAAACUUGGGGUCUUAAAACAACAGAAAUUUAUUCUUUUUCAGGGGGCCAGAGGUUCAAACUCAAAGUUUUGGCAGGGUUGGUGAGUGCCCUCUGCAGGCUCGGAGGGAGAAUCCAUUCCCUGCCUUUCCCCUGGACUGUGCCUGCUACUGCCCGCAGCCCGGGCAUGCGUGGUGUGUAGAGGCUUCACUCGGCCUCUGCCCCUGUCUCCACCUGGCCGUCUUUCCUCUGUGUGUCCUUGGCUGCCUCCUCAAAUCCUCUUCUGCCUUUCUCUCACAAGGACAUCUGUCGGUGGACUUAGGGCCCACCUGAAACCCAGGAUGAUCUUAUCUUGAGGUCCUUCACUUAAUUAUACCUGCAAAGACUUUUUCCAAAUAAAGUCACAUUUGCAGAUUCUGGGGGUUAGGGCUUGAACAUAGUCUUCUGGGGCAUCCUUAUUCAACCCCCUGCUGAGAGGGACCAAGGGGACUGAGGACAGUUGCUGCUCUGAUCAGCUGGGGCAUGUUGCAGAGCUCCCUUUGCCUGAUAAUUUGCACAGCCCAUAUCUAUCACAGAGGUCCCAGCUGACUAAACUGCAUCCUGCCCUCGAGUUGCAACCUGGUGGAAGAUGCGUGUAAGGAAACCCACAUUUGCAGAAGAAAUCCUUCCGCCGCGGAAGGAGGAACAGAUGGCACUUUGGAGCAGGGCGUUGGCCCUCAGGACCAGGAGACCUCUCCUCUCUUGUUAGCUUGUUGUCACUCCCAGACCUUGAGUUGGUGGGGACCCCCAUUCAGAUGGGAAUGCUUGAUUGCAUUUGUUCUGUGUCCGGAGGGCUGGAGCCACUGCUUAGCAUUCCCUUUGGGAGGGAGGUUGUGACAGAGAAGGCCUGGCCUGCAGCUGGAGCUCCUCUGUGAAACCGAGAGACCCAGGGCAACAUGUCGGAGGCCCCAGGUAGACAGGAUGGAAGUUUUCCAGGGAGCACAGCAGCCACUGGGGGAGAUACUCCCAGAAUCCUCUUUUCAAACCCCCUUUGCCAAAAAGGGGAUAGCCAUUUCUAGAAUUCACCUGGUGGGGGACCAACCUGAGAAAUAAUGUUAACUAAUUUUAAAAAAUGGAAUAUAUAAAUAAUACAUAUUUACUAUAGAAAAUUUGAAACAUUUGGCAAAGAACAAAAUAAAUAAAUAGGG